rnacentral:misc_RNA from 1 species
AACGCACAUUGCGCCCUUUGGUAUUCCGAAGGGCAUGCCUGUUCGAGCGUCAUUAUCACCCCUCAAGCCCCCGGCUUGGUGUUGGACGGUUUGGUGGCGGCGACGUUACCCCUCCCAAAGACAAUGACGGCGGCCUCGUUGGACCCCCGGUACACUGAGUUCCUCACCGAACACGUAUCGGAUCAAGGGUGCGCGGGGCACGGUCUGCCUCCCCUCAGGGAGAACUUUUCUCAAGGUUGACCUCGGAUCAGGUAGGGAUACCCGCUGAACUUAA